CGAAUGCUGACAUAAGUAACGAUAAAGCGGGUGAAAAGCCCGCUCGCCGGAAGACCAAGGGUUCCUGUCCAACGUUAAUCGGGGCAGGGUGAGUCGACCCCUAAGGCGAGGCCGAAAGGCGUAGUCGAUGGGAAACAGGUUAAUAUUCCUGUACUUGGUGUUACUGCGAAGGGGGGACGGAGAAGGCUAUGUUGGCCGGGCGACGGUUGUCCCGGUUUAAGCGUGUAGGCUGGUUUUCCAGGCAAAUCCGGAAAAUCAAGGCUGAGGCGUGAUGACGAGGCACUACGGUGCUGAAGCAACAAAUGCCCUGCUUCCAGGAAAAGCCUCUAAGCAUCAGGUAACAUCAAAUCGUACCCCAAACCGACACAGGUGGUCAGGUAGAGAAUACCAAGGCGCUUGAGAGAACUCGGGUGAAGGAACUAGGCAAAAUGGUGCCGUAACUUCGGGAGAAGGCACGCUGAUAUGUAGGUGAAGUCCCUCGCGGAUGGAGCUGAAAUCAGUCGAAGAUACCAGCUGGCUGCAACUGUUUAUUAAAAACACAGCACUGUGCAAACACGAAAGUGGACGUAUACGGUGUGACGCCUGCCCGGUGCCGGAAGGUUAAUUGAUGGGGUCAGCGCAAGCGAAGCUCUUGAU
rnacentral:rRNA from 1 species